rnacentral:misc_RNA from 1 species
GAUGAAGAACGCAGCGAAAUGCGAUAAGUAAUGUGAAUUGCAGAAUUCAGUGAAUCAUCGAAUCUUUGAACGCACAUUGCGCCGUCAGUAUUCUGGCGGGCAUGCCUGUUCGAGCGUCAUUACGCCCCUCAAGUCCCCUGUGGACUUGGUGUUGGGGAUCGGCGAGGCUGGUUUUCCAGCACAGCCGUCCCUUAAAUUAAUUGGCGGUCUCGCCGUGGCCCUCCUCUGCGCAGUAGUAAAACACUCGCAACAGGAGCCCGGCGCGGUCCACUGCCGUAAAACCCCCCAACUUUUUAUAGUUGACCUCGAAUCAGGUAGGACUACCCGCUGAACUUAAGCAUAUCAAUAAGCGGAGGA